CCCUUAUGUAAAAGCAACAUCUCUCCCCUAGAAGCUAGACAGUAUUUCAGGGGAAGACUGAAAGGUAUGGCAGAAGAUUUGCUGGAUCAGUAGAUCAUGCUCUUCAAUCAAUGUCUGCAGAAGCCCCUGUGGUUGUGGCAAGGCCAGGAGUUUUGCAUAAUUUGAGUUCAAGACAAAUGAAGCUCAUCCAGGGCCACGCUGUGCCUAAUAGGCAAACACUGAGAAACCACAUGGGUUUUGUGACACCAUUGACACAGGAUGCCAACUUCUGCUUUGAGGUUGAAAGGAAUGUUCCCAGACUUUCAGAGAAAUGUCUUUUGAGCCAGAGGUUAUCAACAGGAAGCAACAUCCAUCUAGAUGGUGCUGAACAUCAUCUAUGCCAAUCAAUUUAGCUUUGUAUUUUACACCAUCACCUUUGAAUCUAGCCAAGAGAGAUUCAUCUGUUUUUUCUGGCCCUGGAGACAGAGAAAAGGUUUAGUGGAAACUGCUUGCUUUCUUCUCUGCAUGCUCAACAUUGCUCAAGUAUGUACCUAGCUGUAGCGUUCCAAGCAGUCUGGAAGAUAAGAACACUGUCAUAACUAGAAGACAGAUGGUUUGCAAAAUGGAUUCAGGAUUUUCCUAAU